rnacentral:rRNA from 1 species
CCUGGCGGCCUUAGCGCGGUGGUCCCACCUGACCCCAUGCCGAACUCAGAAGUGAAACGCCUUAGCGCCGAUGGUAGUGUGGGGUCUCCCCAUGCGAGAGUAGGGAACUGCCAGGC